CCUCUUUCUGCACUUGAAUGAAUAUGAUACUGAGAACGUGUUGCUAGAGAAUAAUAAAAGCACUACUUUUCCAUACUAGUUUUUCUUAUAUAUACAUUUACAACCCGUUCUAUCAAUAUAUUUUAAUUCUUUAUUGAACGCGGAGCAAUGAGAAGAUAUUUCUAAUUAAGGAAAACUGUUACUACCUCAGGCCAACCUAAUAUGCUAUUCUAUAUUAAGGAAUAGACUACGCGCGAAUUCAAAAAUUCUCUGAUAACGACUUU